UAUCGGAGAGUUUGAUCCUGGCUCAGGACGAACGCUGGCGGCGUGCCUAAUACAUGCAAGUCGAGCGAAGAGAUGGGAGCUUGCUCCCUGAUCUUAGCGGC
rnacentral:rRNA from 1 species